UUCCUUCGAAUCAUGGACCUCGUGGGCAGGAACGUGCACCAGCACUGGUUCCUCCUCUUUCUGGUGGCAGCUCCCGGAUGUGUUCUGUCCCAGGUACAGGUGCAGGAUUCUGGACCAAGCCUGGUGACGCCCUCACAGACGCUGUCCCUCACCUGCUCGGUUUCUGGAUUCUCUCUAAUGAGCUAUGAUGUAAGCUGGGUCCGCCUGGCCCCUGGAAAGGGGCUGGAAUGGAUUGGUAUUAUAUAUGCUAGUGGAAACACAAAGUAUAACCCGAGUCUUCAGUCUCGAGUCAGCAUCACCAGGGACACCUCCAAGAACCAAGUUUACCUAAAACUGAGCAACUCAGUAACUGAGGACACAGCCUUGUAUUACUGUGCAAGAGGCAUAGUGAAUGAGAUUAUCCACAUUUAUCCUUCUCCCUGA